rnacentral:rRNA from 1 species
AUUGAACGCUGGCGGCAGGCCUAACACAUGCAAGUCGAACGAGUGGCGGACUGGUGAGUAAUGUCUUGGAAACUGCCCGAUGGAGGGGGAUAACUACUGGAAACCGUAGCUACUAGCGCAUACCCUCGGAUGUGCCCAGAUGGGUUUAGCUAGUAGGUGGGGUAACGGCUCACCUAGGCGACGAUCCCUAGCUGGUCUGAGAGGAGGACCAGCCACACUGGAACUGAGACACGGUCCAGACUCCUACGGGAGGCAGCAGUGGGGAAUAUUGCACAAUGGGCGCAAGCCUGAUGCAGCCAUGCCGCGUGUAUGAAGAAGGCGUUCGGGUUGUAAAGUACUUUCAGCGAGGAGGCGUUACUCGCAGAAGAAGCACCGGCUAACUCCGUGCCAGCAGCCGCGGUAAUAC